rnacentral:rRNA from 1 species
UGGGGAAUCUUGCGCAAUGGGCGAAAGCCUGACCCAGCAACGCCGCGUGAAGGAUGAAGUAUUUCGGUAUGUAAACUUCGAAAGAAUAGGAAGAAUAAAUGACGGUACUAUUUAUAAGGUCCGGCUAACUACGUGCCAGCAGCCGCGGUAAUACGUAGGGACCAAGCGUUGUUCGGAUUUACUGGGCGUAAAGGGCGCGUAGGCGGCAAUUCAAGUCAUCUGUGAAAUCUCCGGGCUUAACUCGGAACGGUCAGAUGAUACUGCUUUGCUAGAGUGCAGAAGGGGCAAUCGGAAUUCUUGGUGUAGCGGUGAAAUGCGUAGAUACCAAGAGGAACACCUGAGGUGAAGACGGGUUGCUGGGCUGACACUGACGCUGAGGCGCGAAAGCCAGGGGAGCAAACGGGAUUAGAUACCCCCGUAGUCCCUGAGCGGGCUGGCAAGGCGCAU